CAGCCCUUAAGACGGGGGAGAGGUGGGAGUGCCGAAUAAAGAGAUGGAGGGCGGCAGCACAGAAGCCAAGAGCAGCCCGGUGCACUUCUCCCUGCCUGUUCAACAUCUGGAAUACCAAUCGUUGAGUUCUGGGAACAUCUGGAACGCCAAUCACUGGGUUCUGGGAACACAUAGGACAAGUUGCUUUGCAGCACGCUCCUCCCUUGCAGGGCUGGAAACGUUUUAUAGAGCAAAUCUGAUGUGGCAGAAUCCGCAUGGUCAGCCGCAAACCCUUCCCUGCCCUGGAACCAUUUGUGAUUUCUGCAGCCAAAUCAGCAAAAGGAGCACAGGAGAGCAAGGUGCAGUCAGGGUUUGAGUUCUGCCAGCUCUUCCCAUCAAACAGUUAAUUAACAUCCCCCUCCCCCCACCUCCAACAAGUUGUUUUCUUUUAGGAAAAAAAAAAAAAAGCUUCUCGGCACUCGUAAAACCAAUUCCUCUCGAAGGGAAAUUAAAAAUGCAACACGCA